rnacentral:rRNA from 1 species
UACAGAGGUCCCAAGCGUUGUUCGGAUUCAUUGGGCGUAAAGGGUGCGUAGGUGGCGGGGUAAGUCAGGUGUGAAAUUUCGGAGCUUAACUCCGAAACUGCAUUUGAUACUGCCUUGCUUGAGGACUGGAGAGGAGACUGGAAUUUACGGUGUAGCAGUGAAAUGCGUAGAUAUCGUAAGGAAGACCAGUGGCGAAGGCGGGUCUCUGGACAGUUCCUGACACUGAGGCACGAAGGCUAGGGGAGCAAACGGG